rnacentral:lncRNA from 10 species
AUAUUUCAUUAAUGUUUUAUUUUUUAGAGAAUCACUUUAAGCAAUUAAAUAACCAUUUAUCUAAAACACUGGAUAAUUUAUUUCAAAUAUAUUCCAAAUACUUAAACACUGCAUAAAUAUUAAGGUUUAACACACAUCUUUUAAUAAAUUAACCAAAUAUAACUAACAGUUCAGAUAUACUCAAAACACACCACACAAAACUAUCAAGGCUAAUGCUAGAUAUUCCAAAAGUGGUAACAGAAAUGAUUGUGUGCUGUGUAUCUCUAAUUCAAACUUGGACAUGGGCACAAUAAUUUCAUAAAGAUCUCAACAAUGACAGCUUUCAACAUUGAGUAUUUUUUCCAAUUUUACACUAAUUCUUGCAAAGGCAACAUCUGGGGACAACAAUAGAUAUAGACUCACCAAUAUAAUUUGACAGUGGUAAUUUAUCAAUUUACCAAAUAUGCCACUUCCUUUUUUUUUUUGAGACAGAGUUUCGCUCUUGCACCCAGGCUGGAGUGCGAUGGUGCGAUCUCGGCUCACCGCAACCCCUGCCUCCCGGGUUCAAGCGAUUCUCCUGCCUCAGCCUCCCGAGUAGAUGGGAUUACAGACCUGGGCCACCACACCCGGCUAAUUUUGUAUUUUUAGUAGAGAUGGGGUUUCUCCAUGUGGGUCAGGCCGGUCUUCAACUCCUGACCUCAAGUGAUCUGCCUGCCUUGGCCUCCCAAAGUGCUGGGAUUACAGACGUGAGCCACUGGACCCGGCCGCAUUUUUUUUUUUUUUUUUUAAUUGAGACUGAGUCUCACUCUAUUGCCCAGGCUGGAGAAUAGUAGCACAAUCUCGGCUCACUGCAACAUCCCUCUCUCAGGUUCAACCGAUUCUCCUGCCUCAGCCUCCCAAGUAGCUGGGAUUACAGGUGCCCACCACCAUGCCCGGCUAAUUUCUGUAUUUGCAGUAGAGACAGGGUUUCACCAUGUUGGCCAGGCUGGUCUCAAACUCCUGACCUCAAGUGAUUCUCCUGCCUAAGCCUCCCAAACUAAUGGGACUACAGGUGUAAGCCAACACACCUGGUUCAAAUAUGCCACUUUCUUAAAUAUCAAAUUUUUUUCCAAUCUUAUAUUUCUCUAAUUUUAUAGGGGCAGGUGAUAAAAAAAUUUCAAUUUCACUAACUCUGACUACAAAAUUAAACUUUUCCAACAUUUAAGAUCAUUUCAAGGAAAAUAAGAAUAGGCUUUAAUAUUUACAUUAGUGAUUGAUUAAUUGUAGCUGACUGGGGUAUUCAAUUUUAGAAAUUUAAGAUAAUUCCCGCCAGGUGCAGUGGCUCACACCUGCAAUCCCAGCACUUUGGGAGGCCGAGGCAGGCAGAUCACGAGGUCAGGAGUUUGAGACCAGCCUGACCAACAUGGUGAAACCCCGUCUAUACUAUACAAAAAAAUUAGCCAGGUGUGGUGGAAGGCACCUGUAAUCCCAGCUAAUGGAGAGGCUGAGGAAGGAGAAUCACUUGAACCCAGCAGGCAGAGGGUGCAGGGAGUCAUGCCACUGCACUCCAGCCUGGGCGACAGAGCAAGACUCCAUCUCAAAAAAAAAAAAAAAAAGAAAUUUAAGAUAACUCCCUAAGGAUUGUACCUGUACCUUGUGCAUUUCAGUCAUGCCAUUUAAUCAUUAUUCUUCACAUAAAAUUGUUAUAAAGUUAUAUUGUCUAUAUUGACAAUAAAAAACUAUUAAACUGUAGCAACCUUUUUCUAAAUGAGUCAAGACUUCUUAUGAGCUAUGCAAAUUAAUAUUGCUGAUAUUUAAAUAUGAUCUCUUUCAUUACACAUUUGGGCAAAAUUUUUUUAGAGUAAAGGUGAUUAGUCAUAGAACUUUCUUUCUUUUUCUUUCCUUUUUAAUUAAAAAUAGAGAUGCAGUCUCCCUGGUCUCGAUCUCCUGAGCUCAAGCAAUACUCCUACCUUGGCAUCCCAAAGUGUUGGGAUUAAAGGUAUGAGCCACUACACCCAGCCCAUAGACUUUUCAUUUACUAUAUAAAGUCUUUUUCUCCUACAAAAUAUCCAUUCUCCUUCCCCAAAAUAAACAAGGCUCCUUAAAGGCAAUCUUUAUAAUCCAUAGUCAAAUAAAAGUUUUUAUUCACUUAAGCAGGAGGGAAUGAGUUCAGCACAUUAAUUAGUCUGCCCUGCUAUAAGACCUGCCUCUUCCAAAACAGAAUUCCAAUAAGGAAAAUAAGCUAUCCAUGCUGAUUCUACCUUGCUAGCAAAUUGGGGAAGUAACAUGAAGACUCUAAUAGUGGUUUGACUGGUAGAAAAUGAAAGAGCUCUCAGUCCCAAACCAAAUGGUGAUUACAUAAAAAAUUUGGCAUUGUCAAAUCAGGCAGAUACAAUCUAAAGUAAAAAGAGCCAGCAGCGGUGGCUCACGCCUGUAAUCCCAGCACUUUAGGAGGCCAAGGCGGGAAGAUCACCUAAGGUCAGGAGUUUGAGAUCAGCCUGGCCAACAUGGCAAAACCCCAUCUCGACCAAAAAUACAAAAAUAAGCUGGGCGUAGUAGUGCACAUCUGUAGUCCCAGCUACUUGGAAGGCUGAGGCAGGAGAAUCGCUUGAACCCGGGAGGCGGAGGUUGCAGUGAGCAGCUUGGGCAACAGAGCCAGACUCCAUCUCAAAAAAAUAAUAAAAUAAAAUAAAGUAAAAAGAACAUGGUCUGCAGUAGGUGUUUUUGUUUUGUUUUUGUUUGUUUGUUUUUGAAACGGAGUCUCGCUCUGUCGCCCAGGCUGAAGUGUAGUGGCGCAAUCUCAACUCACUGCAAGCUCCGCCUCCCGGGCUCAAGCAAUUCUCCUGCCUCAGCCUCCCUAGUAGCUGGGAUUACAGUCGUGUGCCACCCUAUGCCUGGCUAAUUUUUGUAUUUUUAGUAGAGACGGCGUUUCACCAUGUUGGCCAGGCUGGUCUCAAACUCCUGACCUCAAGUGAUCCACCCACCUCGGCCUCCCAAAGGGUUGGGAUUACAGGCGUGAGCCACCAUGCCCAGCCUGCAAUAGGUAUUCAAAAUCCUCCCUAAGAGAAAAUAAUUGUGCCUCGCUAUCUACCAAAGACAUUGGUUAAAAAAAAGUCUCAGCAGUUACAAUGUACAGUAUCACCUUCCCUUCUGUAACCAAAAUACUUAUUAAAUAUAUGAAUGCUAGUUAUCAGAUUAUUUUAAAAGUUUAUUUUCUUUCUCUAAUAAUAAGGUAAAAUACAUUUUGGAAAUCUGCAUGGAAUGUUCCCAACAAGUUAUUUCAUUUUAGCAGGGUCUAUGACAUACAGCUUUAGUCAUUCUUUCAAUUACUUGGAACCACAGAAUUCUCCAAAAUACAAAAAUUAAAUUUUCAGCUUUUAUAUCAAAUAAUGGUCUCAACCAUUUAAUACAAAGCAACAUACUUUCUCAGGUUUCUGUUAAUAAGGCAAAAUAAAAGUCACUCAGAAAAAAAAGGUUAAAUCAUGAAGAUUUCUCUUUUGUAGGAUAUAAUUCACCCCUGUGGUUUCUCUUCUACCAUUAAUGUCUUAUCUACUCUAAUUCCUUCAAAGUUUCAAGUUCAAUACAGUAUAACAUAUGCAGAGAUUUUAUAGUUUUUAUCAUAGAUUUUUUUUUUCAACAUUGUUUUCAGGAUGUUUUAAACACUUUCACAACUAUUACCUCAGAUUUGUGAUUAUGGCUUAUAGUACGGUCUACUUUCAAAACCAUGAUUUUUGGAUCAUGGCCCAUCCAAGAUUUUACUCUGUUCAGAAAAAGAAAAAAAAUUACAUAUCCAGAGUUUCACAAGCAAUUCAGGGGUUUUUCCCACAGACAUCAAAAACCUUGCAAUAAAGGGGUGAAAUCCAAAAAUUACUUUCGAUUUCAAAGGUUUAAUAUUUUUAAAAAAUUGAGAAAUCUAUUUAAGGUGUUGAAUAAACUUUUUAUGACUUAUCAGGCAAAAUUAAAAUAUUUAUCAUGGGCAGGGCACGGUGGCUUACACCUGUAAUCCCAGCAUUUUGAGAGGUCAAGGCUGGACGACUGCUUGAAGCUAUGAGAUUGGGACUAGCCUGGAAAAUAUAGCGGACCCCACCUCUAUAAAAAAUUAUUAUUUUUUAUUAGCUGGGCAUAGUGCUGUGUGCCUGUAGUCCUAGCUACCAGAGAGGCUGAGGUGGAAAGAUCCUUUUUUGUUGUUGAGACAGGGUCUCACUCUGUCACCCAGACAGGAAUGUAGUACCACAAUCACUGCUUACUGAAGCCUUGACCUCCUGGGUUCAAGUAACCCUCCCGCCUAAGCUUCCCAAGUAGCUGGGACUACUGGUGUGUACCACCAUGCCUGGAUAAUUAAAAAAAAAAAAGAAGUCAUAAAGACAGGUUCUUAUUAUAUUGACCAGGUUGGUCUUGAACUCUUGACCUCAAGUGAUCCUCCUGCCUUGGCCUCCUAAAGUGUUGUGAUUACAGGUGUGAGCCACAGCAUCCAGCCUAAGGAAGAUCCCUUGAGCCUAGGAAUUUGAGGCUGCAGUGAGCUAUGAUUGCAUCACUGUACUCCAGCUUGGGCAAAAGUGAGACCAUGUCUCUAAAAAAUAAUAAUAAAAUAAAAUAAAGUAUUUACAAUGGAAGGAAUCUGUGGUGUUACUUUUAGGUAAUCUCAGAAGAACUUUUCAAACUCAGAUGUAUAUAUGCGGCAACCAAUGUGCAUAUGGAGAUACUGACAUAGAGAGAAAAAUGUUCAAUCUAUCAUAAUGUACUAUCUUGUUUCGUC